rnacentral:rRNA from 1 species
GAUGAACGCUGGCGGCGUGCUUAACACAUGCAAGUCGAACGGAAAGGCCCAAGCUUUCUUGGGUACUCGAGUGGCGAACGGGUGAGUAACACGUGGGUGACCUGCCCUGCACUUCGGGAUAAGCCUAGGAAACUGGGUCUAAUACCGGAUAGGACGAUGGUUUGGAUGCCAUUGUGGAGAGUUUUUGCGCUGUGGGAGGAGCACGCGCGCUAUCAGCUUGUUUGUGGGGUAAUGGCCUACCAAGGCGUCGACGGGGAGCCGGCCUGUGAGGGUGUAAGGGCACACUUGGAGUGUGAGACGGCGCAGAGACUUACAGGGGGGAGAGGAGGGGAGAAUUGUGCAAAAGGGGCGAGAGUCAUAUAGAGACGCGGCGUGGGGGGUGAGGGGGUUUGCGGGGUAAACACCGUUUGCGAGGGACGAGGCGUGUGAGUGACGGUACUGGGUGAAGAAGCACCGGCUAACUACGUG